UACGAAGGGGGCUAGCGUUGCUCGGAAUCACUGGGCGUAAAGGGUGCGUAGGCGGGUCUUUAAGUCAGGGGUGAAAUCCUGGAGCUCGACUCCAGAACUGCCUUUGAUACUGAAGAUCUUGAGUUCGGGAGAGGUGAGUGGAACUGCGAGUGUAGAGGUGAAAUUCGUAGAUAUUCGCAAGAACACCAGUGGCGAAGGCGGCUCACUGGACCGUUGUUGACGCUGAGGUGCGAAAGCGUGGGGAGCAAACAGG
rnacentral:rRNA from 1 species